rnacentral:rRNA from 1 species
UGGCUCAGAACGAACGCUGGCGGCAGGCUUAACACAUGCAAGUCGAGCGGGCGUAGCAAUACGUCAGCGGCAGACGGGUGAGUAACGCGUGGGAACGUACCUUUUGGUUCGGAACAACACAGGGAAACUUGUGCUAAUACCGGAUAAGCCCUUACGGGGAAAGAUUUAUCGCCGAAAGAUCGGCCCGCGUCUGAUUAGCUAGUU